rnacentral:rRNA from 1 species
AGAGUUUGAUCAUGGCUCAGGAUAAACGCUGGCGGCGUGCCUAACACAUGCAAGUCGAACGCCCUUAGCAAUAAGGGAGUGGCGGACGGGUGAGGAACACGUGGGUCAUCUACCUUUCGGUGAGGAAUACCGGCGAGAAAUCGCCGACAAUACCGCAUACGCUCCCUCGGGAGCAAAGCUCGCAAGGGCGCCGGAAGAUG